CUACGGGAGGCUGCAGUGGGGAAUAUUGGACAAUGGGGGAAACCCUGAUCCAGCAAUGCCGCGUGUGUGAAGAAGGCCUGCGGGUUGUAAAGCACUUUCGGUUGGGAGGACUGCUUCUAGCACUAAUAUUGUUGGAAGUUGACGUUACCUUCAGAAGAAGCACCGGCUAACUCCGUGCCAGCAGCCGCGGUAAUACGGAGGGUGCGAGCGUUAAUCGGAAUUACCGGGCGUAAAGCGCGCGUAGGCGGCUAGAUCAGUCGGGUGUGAAAGCCCCGGGCUUAACCUGGGAACUGCAUCCGAUACUGUCUAGCUUGAGUACAGGAGAGGAGAGUGGAAUUCCACAUGUAGCGGUGAAAUGCGUAGAUAUGUGGAGGAACACCAAUGGCGAAGGCAGCUCUCUGGCCUGAUACUGACGCUGAGGUGCGAAAGCGUGGGGAGCAAACAGGAUUAGAUACCCUCGUAGUC
rnacentral:rRNA from 1 species